AUUUGUAAGUCGCUUUGGAUAAAAGCAUCUGCUAAAUGACAAAAUUUAACUAGAAUGUAAAUGUAAAUAACAAAACUAAACUGAAAUUUUAAAACAAGCCCCAAAUCAAAUAAAUAACACAAAUAAAAUAAAUCUCUUCAUAUAAACAAAAUAAGGUUUUGUCUGUGCUCUCUUACAUUUAAAAUUAGAGGCAACCACUGCAUUUUUAAAUCACUGACACUAACUAAACGAAAAAAAAAAUUAAAAAAACUUCUUAGUUAGUGGUUACCGCUGUAAACAAAGCACUUGUGAACACUGCAGCAGGUGGAGCUUAAAGCGUUACCUUGGUUAUCGCUGUAAACAAAGCAGCGCUGCACUUAUGAACUUUAAUAUGCUUUGUACAGAGGCAAGAUGAAAAGAAAAAAUACCAUCUAAACUUUUCUAAAGACAUGUUUUCUGGCGUUGGAAAGAAAUGAUCCUCCGCAGUGAUUCGUAUCUCUGGAGGUGGAAUCAGAGCGUGCAGCCCCUCGCAUUCCCCCGGACGGCCCAUUUUUCAGCAGCAGGCCUCACGCUGGGCGUUUGAUGGAGCUCGCAGCCAGUGUGUGAGCGGGCCUGACCUACUCACAGCUUCCCGAGAGCUCGCCCCGAUCGCAUGUAAUCACAGCAGACGAGCGCUGACAGCGCCAAUGCCGCGGUCACAUCACUGCCGCCCCACUGAACUCCCAGCAGCCCACACCAUUGUUUCUGCUCUCACUUUCUCUUUGUUUUUAGCCCAUCCACAAACAUCCAUUCACACACACACACACACACACACACGCACACGAACUCCCACCUUCACAGCGCCACGGCUGGAGAAAGAGGAAAGUGUGGAGCGUCGGAGGGAAUGAGUUGAGAUUAGGGUUACACUCCUCAGUGUAGGAAUAACACUAAUAAAAUAUGUAUUAGUUUUAUGGCAUAUUUAUAUUUACUGAAAGAAAUCAGAAUGUUGCCUUGCUUUGGUUAAGGUGUUCUUAACAGUGUUUUUGACAAGUUGUUUUAUGGUUGCUAGGGAUUCAUUGGUGGUUGCUAAGGGCAUUAUGCAUUUUUCUGAGUAGAGAUUGAAUGAAAUUUUAUGACUGAUACCAACACUAUUUAAUAUUGUCUUAGUGUAAAUUUAAUUAUCGUUUUUAAAUUAUUGUUUUAUUUAUACUAUUUGGUAUUAAGAUUAAUAAUAAUUAAUUAACUAACUUGAAUUGAUUGCACUAAUACAUGCUAUGUGUUUAAGUAUUUAAUAUAUAUAUAUAGUAAUUAGUAUUGUCGUACUAAUAACUAUGCUAUGUGUUAAGUAUUAAUAUAUAUAUAUAUAUAUAUAUAUAUAUUAAAAUAAUAACAAUAUAGUAAUAGAUAUAGUAAUAAUGAUAAUAAUAAUUAAUAUUAGUAGCAGUGGUAAUAUUAAAAUAAUACAAUAAUAAUAAUAAUUAUUAUUAUUAUUAUUAUUAUUAUUAUUAUUGUGUAUUUUAUUGUUGCUAUUGUUGACAUUUUUGAUGAAGUGAAAUGUUUCAAAAAGAAAAUUUGGACCAAAAUUUUGCCAUUUAUCUGUAGACACAUUACACAAUAUUAAGGAACCAGUAACUGUUUGAGUAGAAAAGUGUGAAUAUUGGUAAAAGAAAAUAUCCAGUAUUCAUCUUUAGUGCUCAGCAUCUCAUAUAAAAGAAGAGUCUCUUCUAGUCUCUAGAUGUGAGAUUUUUUCACUUGUUUUCUGGUCCAGAAGGUGCGUCUGAUCACUUUCUUCAGUGGUGUGAUCUGCUGAACAUGUGAAGUUCCUCUAACAUUCAUUCUGCUCUUUCUCGUGUGAAUCUCUGUGCUCUUGAUGUAAUCUCAGUAAUGGCUCUUAAUCGGCCAAAGUUGUAUGUGUCGGUGAGUGUUUGGGUGAGAUUAGGGCGAGAGAGGGCGUGUCGUGGCCCGAGGUGAGUCCCGCCAUCACCUGACGUGUGAAUGGCUUUUGUCAUGCGCUCUUUCUGCUCUUGUGUGUUUUCACUUCUGCUUUGUGUUCUUUAUCCCACCAAUAAGUUUUUAUUUUUAAUGUCUGUGUUUGACACGAUGGCAGUGUGUUUCAGCGUGUUGUAAACGGAUGCUCUGUUCUGUUCUGAAAUCAAACCGAUUAGGGUUUAGGGUCCUAAAAGUGUGCCUGUAGUCUACUAGUAGUAUCGCAAAAGGGGUGGGAGCGGUUCUGAACUUUCUCUUCUGUUUCGUUUUUAUUUUUAAUGUCUGUGUUUGACACGAUGGCAGUGUGUUUCAGCGUGUUGUAAACGGAUGCUCUGUUCUGUUCUGAAAUCAAACCGCGCGCAAGUAUCUGUCGGGUGCAUUAAAAUAUGACUCUCAGAAUCAGAAUCAGAAUCAGAAUCAGAAAGAGCUUUAUUGCCAAGUAUGCUUGCGCAUACAAGGAAUUUGUUUUAGUGACAUAAGCUUCCAGUACACAAAAGACAACAACACACAGUCAAAAAAAUAAAAAUAAAAACCCUUUGCAGAUAAAUAAGUGUAUAAACAAUUGUGCUAUAAAUGAUAAUGGAAUUGGAUUGAGUAAGAUGCAGGGAUGUACUAGGAUGAAGGGGUAACAAAUAAAUAUAAGGAUAUUGCACAUUUUUUUUUUUAUUGUAUAAGUGGGGAACAUUUAACUGUUCAUGAGGUAGAUUGCCUGGGGGAAGAAACUGUUCUUGUGCCUGACUGUCCUGGUAUUUGCGGCUCUGAAGCGCCGGCCAGAUGGCAAGAGUUCAAAGAUGGGGUAACUUGGGUGUGAGGGAUCCAGAGUGAUUUUCUGGAGCCCUUUUCCUCACUCUGGAUGUGUACAGUUCUUGAAGGGUGGGCAGGGGAGUACCAAUAAUCCUUUCAGCAGUCCCGAACCGUUCUCUGUAGUCUUCUGAUGUCUGAUUUUGUAGCUGAACCAAACCACACAGUUAUUGAAGUGCACAGGAGAGACUCAAUGACGGCUGAGUAGAACUGUUUCAGCAGCUCCUGUGGCAGGUUAAACUUCCUGAAUUAACUCUCCAAGGUAUUAUAGCUUCCAAAAAAAAAAAAGCCCAGGAAGGACUUCAAAUGAGGUUUAUGCAGCUCAAGGGUCUUUUUCUUUCUUAACUGGAAUAUCUGUUUAAGAUGAAGUGGCUGUCAACAACUGCUGUGAUCUCUGUUGUUUUCUACUGCAGCCUCACUUUACAGUUUAAAAUAGUUCUUGAAACAGCAGGAGCAAACAUUUUAAGACUCACCGAAAUAUGAAAGGCCUGUGGUUGUGAUUAUGUGUGAAAUGACUUGUGAAAUUUAGUAGGUCAGUGGUUUGAGAGACAUACUGUAUUUCUGAAGCCAUUUGAUCUAGAUAAGACAUAUAGCCCAGCAUAAUUGUUAGAAACAUUUGGUUGAAUAAUAAGAUGAAGUUCAACAGUCAUCCCUAUAACAUUAAGGAAAUAAGAAAAAAAAAGAGGAAGAGGAAGAAACAACUAAUGUGCUUGGUUCCGAAGAUUUUGUUAAAUGGUAACUUAACCCAUUUUUUAAAAGACCAAAACCCUCCAGUAAAUUCAGUAAUAUAAAUCUUAUUUAUUUUGAUUUUAUGAAACAAAAUAAAUUAAUAAAAAAGCUAAACGCUAAAUAAAAUAAUGAAUAAAAUGAUGAAUAAAUAUUUAUUGUAUUAAUAACAAUUGAAAAUUAAAUAAUAGGACACAAAACAUUAAAAUAAUUAAAAAUAUUUGAGUAACAAAUAAAUGCAUGUUUGGCUUUAGUUAAAUAAGU
rnacentral:lncRNA from 1 species